UUGAUGUCCCUUAAAAGAAGAUGGACAUAAGUGUAUAAUUUAUGAAAUCAAUGGUGACUAAAUCGCUAAUAAUGCUAAUAUAAGGUCGUUUAGUAAUUUACCAAAAACGAAACGGCAAAGCCAAUACGAAAUAACUGAACGCGAAUUCGAAAACCCUGGUUUUAGGGCUUUUCACUGUCUACUAUCUCUGAACUCUUCUUAAGAUGGCGAAUUAUUCAAUAACUCGUCCAUGGUUUCUCGAAUUGGUGCCCCUGCUGGUUGUUAUUCUAAUAGCUGCUCAUGUCAUCGCGUUGGUUUACUGGAUGUACAGAUUAGCUACUGAUAAACAGCCACAAAGAAGAAAGGCGCAUUGAUUUUGAUUAUCAGGUAGUUUUUUUCGACACAUUGGAUGGGAUUUCUUAGACAGGUUAUACAACAUUUCUGAAAAGCAGCAUUUAAAUAUGUGGUAACUUGUGUUCUCUAUGUUAAAUAUUUGCUGCAUGCUUCUUGUCAGCUGUUUAUUCAAAAUCAGACAUUGUUGAGUCCCUUGUAUCAUCCCUGAUGUUAACUUGCUUGUUUGAUUGCUCUCCCACUUUGCUUGUCUUAAUUUAUUCAUUGCGACCAGCUAAUAUUACACUGUACUCAUAUUGAUGAAUUGUUGUUGAAAAUUAAGGAAAAUUUAAGUAACGGCUAAACUCCUUUCUUGCAA